AUUCCCCUAGUAACUGCGAGUGAAGCGGGAAAAGCUCAAAUUUAAAAUCUGGUGGUCUUUGGCCAUCCGAGUUGUAAUUUAGAGAAGCGUCUUCCGCGCUGGACCGUGCACAAGUCUCCUGGAAUGGAGCGUCAUAGAGGGUGAGAAUCCCGUCUUUGGCACGGAUGUACCAGGGCUUUUGUGAUGCGCUCUCGAAGAGUCGAGUUGUUUGGGAAUGCAGCUCAAAAUGGGUGGUGAACUCCAUCUAAAGCUAAAUAUUGGCGAGAGACCGAUAGCGAACAAGUACCGUGAGGGAAAGAUGAAAAGCACUUUGGAAAGAGAGUGAAACAGUACGUGAAAUUGUUGAAAGGGAAACGCUUGAAGUCAGUCGCGUCGACCGAGACUCAGCCUUGCCUCGGCUUGGUGUACUUCUCGGCUGACGGGUCAGCAUCAAUUUCGCCCCUUGGAUAAUGGCGAGGGAAAUGUGACACCUUUUACGGUGUGUUAUAGUCUCUCGUCGCAUGCAAGGGUUGGGAUUGAGGAACUCAGCACGCGCCCUCGGGCGUCGGGGCUUUGCCCACGAUACGUGCUUAGGAUGUUGGCGUAAUGGCUUUAAACGACCCGUCUUGAAACACGGACCAAGGAGUCUAACAUGCCUGCGAGUGUUCGGGUGGAAAACCCGUGCGCGCAAUGAAAGUGAAAGUUGGGACCUCUGUCGUGGAGGGCACCGACGCCCGGACCAGACCUUCUGUGACGGCUCUGCGGUAGAGCAUGUAUGUUAGGACCCGAAAGAUGGUGAACUAUGCCUGAAUAGGGUGAAGCCAGAGGAAACUCUGGUGGAGGCUCGUAGCGAUUCUGACGUGCAAAUCGAUCGUCAAAUUUGGGUAUAGGGGCGAAAGAC
rnacentral:rRNA from 1 species